UACGAAGGGGGCUAGCGUUGUCCGGAAUCACUGGGCGUAAAGGGCGCGUAGGUGGUGGCUUAAGCGUGCGGUGAAAGCUCGGAGCUCAACUCCGAGUCGGCCGUGCGAACUGGGCUCACUGGAGCAUAGUAGAGGCAGGUGGAAUUCCGGGUGUAGCGGGUGGAAUGCGUAGAGAUCCGGAAGAACACCGGUGGCGAAGGCGGCCUGCUGGGCUAUGGCUGACACUGAGGCGCGGACAGCGUGGGGAGCAAACAGGG
rnacentral:rRNA from 1 species